UACGUAGGGUGCGAGCGUUGUCCGGAAUUAUUGGGCGUAAAGAGCUCGUAGGCGGUGUGUCGCGUCGGCCGUGAAAACCUGCAGCUUAACUGUGGGCUUGCGGUCGAUACGGGCAUCACUGGAGUUCGGCAGGGGAGACUGGAAUUCCUGGUGUAGCGGUGAAAUACGCAGAUAUCAGGAGGAACACCGGUGGCGAAGGCGGGUCUCUGGGCCGAUACUGACGCUGAGGAGCGAAAGCGUGGGGAGCGAACAGG
rnacentral:rRNA from 1 species